rnacentral:rRNA from 1 species
UACGUAGGUGGCGAGCGUUGUCCGGAAUUAUUGGGCGUAAAGGGUGCGUAGGCGGUUUUUUAAGUGGGAUGUGAAAUCCACAGGCUUAACUUGUGAAUUGCAUUCCAAACUGGAAAGCUUGAGUACAGGAGAGGAAAGCGGAAUUCCCAGUGUAGCGGUGAAAUGCGUAGAGAUUGGGAGGAACACCAGUGGCGAAGGCGGCUUUCUGGACUGUAACUGACGUUGAUGCACGAAAGCGUGGGGAGCAAACAGG